AAGUUGACCGCCUGGGGAGUACGGCCGCAAGGUUAAAACUCAAAUGAAUUGACGGGGGCCCGCACAAGCGGUGGAGCAUGUGGUUUAAUUCGAUGCAACGCGAAGAACCUUACCUACCCUUGACAUGUAGUGAACUUACCAGAGAUGGUUUGGUGCCUUCGGGAACACUAACACAGGUGCUGCAUGGCUGUCGUCAGCUCGUGUCGUGAGAUGUUGGGUUAAGUCCCGUAACGAGCGCAACCCUUAUCCUUAGUUGCUAGCAGGUAAUGCUGAGAACUCUAGGGAGACUGCCAGUGAUAAACUGGAGGAAGGUGGGGACGACGUCAAGUCAUCAUGGCCCUUAUGGGUAGGGCUACACACGUGCUACAAUGGUCGGUACAGAGGGCCGCAAACUCGCGAGAGUAAGCAAAUCCCAGAAAGCCGAUCUUAGUCCGGAUUGCAGUCUGCAACUCGACUGCAUGAAGUUGGAAUCGCUAGUAAUCGCGGAUCAGAAUGCCGCGGUGAAUACGUUCCCGGGCCUUGUACACACCGCCCGUCACACCAUGGGAGUGGGUUGCAAAAGAAGUGGGUAGUCUAACCUUCGGGAGGGCGCUCACCACUUUGUGAUUCAUGACUGGGGUGAAGUCGUAACAAGGUA
rnacentral:rRNA from 1 species